rnacentral:tRNA from 1 species
GCCUCUGUGGCGGAAUUGGUAGACGCGACGGAUUCAAAAUCCGUUUCUGGCAACAGAGUGCCGGUUCGAGUCCGGCCAGGGGCACCA